rnacentral:rRNA from 1 species
AUGGCAGGUGUCACAUCGGAUUCUUCACAGGAGACGAUGAGUAAACGGUGGAACCUCGCCGGCAUGACGGCGCUCGUCACCGGAGGAACCAAGGGGAUCGGGCUUGCCAUCGUGGAGGAGCUGGCCGGGCUCGGCGCCAAGGUGCACACCUGCGCACGCAACGCCGCCGGCCUGGACAAAUGCCGGCGGCGAUGGCAGAGCAAGGGCCUCCACCAGCUGGUCACCGCCUCCGUCUGCGACGUCUCCGUGCGCGGCGACAGGGAGGCCCUCGUCGCCACGGUCCGCGACCUCUUCCACGGCAAACUCCACAUCCUCGUCAACAACGCCGGCCUGUCCCUCUACAAGGCGGCCGCGGACACCACGCCGGAGGAGUACGCCCGUCUCAUGGCCACCAACCUCGACCCCUGCUUCCACCUCUCCCAGCUCGCGCACCCGCUGCUCCGCCAGGCCGGGGCCUCCUCCGUGCUGCUCAUCUCCUCCGUCACCGGCUACAUCGCCUACCCGGCGCUCUCGGUUUACUCGCUCACCAAGGGGGCCAUGCACCAGCUCGCCAGGAGCCUGGCCGCCGAGUGGGCGACGCACGGCAUCCGCGUCAACUGCGUCGCGCCGGGCGGCAUCGACACCGAUAUCUCCACCACCACGCUCGCCACCGACCCAACCAUGGCACGGAGGCUCGCCGACAUGGAGACGGCGCGGGUGCCCAUGCGCCGCUUCGGCAAGCCCCACGAAGUCGCCGCGGUCGUCGCCUUCCUCUGCAUGCCCGGCGCCGGGUACAUCACGGGCCAGGUCAUAUGCGUCGAUGGAGGACGCACAAUAGCAGCCAAGCUAUGA